CUAAUGAGGGAAUGCCAAUCUCUAAAGAUCCGACCAAGAAAGGAAACCUAAGGCUCAAGUUCGACGUCGUCUUUCGGGCGAAGCUUAGUGCAGAGCAGAAGGAUGAUCUGAGGAGAGUGCUGGGUGGAGGUGAUACCUAAGGUUAUGAGAAUUCAUAUGCCUCGGAUAAAAACCAAAUCCGUUUUAACUCUAAUUGUCAUGUAAAUAUUUAAUCUUUCCACGGUGCGAUUGUGCAUACUAGUCUAGUUUGAAGGUUUGGAAUCCAUAAAUGUAAGAAAUGCUCACGGAGCUCCCUAAAUUGUAAGAUUAUUUUCUAAUGGCUUAUAACACUUUUCUU